AUUUGAGUAGUAUAAAAAUUACAAUACAUUUUCAAUGUAUAAAUAGAUCAGAUCUCUCGAAUA
rnacentral:tRNA from 1 species